UAAAACAGAGAUUGCAAUUGCUGUUAGAAUACAUAUGUGACACCCCGUUCUUUUUUUUUUUAACGGUGUACGAUAAAGCACGCAUACAACACAAUACCGAAAUCCAUAUUAUUCCAACCAUGCACAAGAGAAAUUUAUCCACCUUCCAUGUUCCAAAUCAAUUGUACAUACAUCUCCACCUCUACAACACAUAGUAAUACAAUAUCAAACAUUCCUAGAUAUUCAAUAUCCAGACUAAACCAUCCUUUCAAACUACUUUAAAUCACAAACAAAACUCGUGCCCUAUGGCACUACCGACGGGGCUCCGUUACCAGCCGCUCGGAUCCCAAUUCCGUCCUUACUCCACCUGUGAAUGAUGAGAAGUGAGUUCACAUAACUCAAUACGAUAAAAAUCAAGUUGUAAGUGUGAUAUGCAGUGACAAGAAUUUCCAGAAAUGUCUAUAUGCAUUUAUCCUACCCAACCCCAACAACUCAUAACCCUCUCCCUACACUAAUUAUCAAGGUCCCAUUCCAAGGCAAUAGCACGGCCAAACAACCCCCCCCCACCCAACAAUCAUCCACUAACUCUCGUCACCAACAUCGGCGACUCAUACACUCUUCCCCCAUCUCCCGACCUCCACGAGGUCACACACACACACACACCCAACCACCUUCAUUCCACGUCACCAAUAUCGGCGACUCACAUCUAUAUCUCCACCUCUCGACCUAAUAGGCCACGCACACACCCACACACCAUUAUUCCGCGUCACCAACAUCGGCGACUCACACUCACUCCUCCACCUCUCGACCUAAAGAGGCCACACACACACACAAAUACCAUCGUCUCGCGUCACCAACAUCGGCGACUCAUACUCACUCCUCCACCUCUCGACCUAAAGAGGCCACACACACACACAAAGACCAUCCUCUCGCGUCACCAACAUCGGCGACUCAUACUCACUCCUCCAUCUCUCGACCUCGUUGGGCCACGCACAAACACAAACACUUCCACCUCCCGUCACCACCUUCCGUGAAUCAUGCACCCUUCUACCCCUCUCGGCCUUGCUAGGCCACACUCACAUACAUAUCCCCUCCCUGCUCCACCAACAUCGGCAACUCAGCCCGCCCCUACCAACGGUCUCCAAAUCUCCCCUUAUACCAUGCUAGUCCCAAGCAUUCUAACUUACUAACUCCUACUGACCACAUUACUCUUCUUCUCCCGUCCAAUCCCCCUCAAAUCCUGCUUCCUAGUCCCCUCUGCCGUACCUUCCAGCUCCCUUCCCUCUCCCACUGCCCCCUACCCACUACCUCCCCCAUCCUCCUGCCUCCUCCCGGUUCCUAUACACUUUUGCCUACCUAGGGCGAUUAACCUCUCAGCUUGCACCGUUUCACGCCACAUACACGCCCUCACCACCGUGCAUUUCGGGGAAACACAUCACCGCCUAUUAACGGCUCCCUCCACAUCCCCACCCACGCACACACCACACACACACCUCUUCUGUCCUCUCGAGUUUUUUAUCCCACCCGCGCCCCCUAGAUUGUUCUCUCACAUCCUCCUCACUCUGUUCUACCCGUACCACCCCCAUCCUUCCCCACGGCCCCCCCCCACACGCCUCCAACACCGCCAUACUUUCCCUUCCUUCCCCGAUCACCUCCGUGAGCGCGCGGGACAACCCCACGCUUACGGCCUACCUUCACUGUUCCACUCCGUCGCGCCAUUGCCGACGCCGCAACCUGCAACCAAAUUUCUCUACACACACACACCACACCAAACAACUCAAAUUUUCACCGUACCUCCCGUUUCCAUCCUCCUUCUUCCUGCCGGUCGCGUCGUCCGUCCACGGCCUCCUUCCCUCUCCCUUCUCGCUCCCCUCCGCCCCGACUCUCUCCUCUCUCCUUCUGGAACUUUCCUCUUCUUCUUCGUCUCCGCUCUCCUCCUUCCCUCCUUUUCUCUUUUUCUCUUUUUCCUUUUCUUUUUUUUUUUUUUCUUUUCCCUUUCUCCCUUUUCCGACCUCCUUUUAUACUCUGCCAGCCUACCCCAAAACGACAUCGUUUUCCUACAUCCCAAAACGACGUCGUUUUUCUUUCUUUCAAAACGACGUCGUUUUUCCCUUCUCUAAAACGACGUCGUUUUUAUUAUU
rnacentral:lncRNA from 1 species